rnacentral:rRNA from 1 species
AGAGUUUGAUCAUGGCUCAGCCUGAACGCUGGCGGCGUGGCUAAGACAUGCAAGUCGCACGGAGGUAGCAAUACCUCAGUGGCGAACGGGUGAGUAAUGAAUCGCUAAUGUACCCCGGACUCUGGGAUAGCCGCCCGAAAGGGCAGGUAAUACCAGAUGAUAUAACCUGACGGCAUCGUUGGGUUCUCAAAGGUCCGCCGGUCUGGGAGCAGGCGAUUUUGUAUCAGCUUGUUGGUGAGGUAACGGCUCACCAAGGCGACGACGCAUAGCCGGACUGAGAGGUUGGCCGGCCACAUUGGGACUGAGACACUGCCCAGACUCCUACGGGGGGCUGCAGUAACGAAUCUUCCGCAAUGUACGAAAGUAUGACGGAGCGACGCCGCGUGCAGGACGAAGCCCUUCGGGGUGUAAACUGCUGUCAGGGGUUAGAAAGUUCUGAUCAACCCCAGAGGAAGGCACGGCUAACUCUGUGCCAGCAGCCGCGGUAAGACAGAGGUGCCGAGCGUUAGGCGGAAUCACUGGGCUUAAAGCGUGUGUAGGCGGACUUCUAAGUACCUUGUGAAAUCCCACGGCUUAACCGUGGAACUGCUUGGUAUACUGGUUGUCUUGGGCCAUCUAGGGGCUACCGGAACAAACGGUGGAGCGGUGAAAUGCGUAGAUAUCGUUUGGAACGCCAAUGGUGAAAACAGGUAGCUGGGGAUGUGCCGACGCUGAGACACGAAAGCCAGGGGAGCGAACGGGAUUAGAUACCCCGGUAGUCCUGGCUGUAAACGAUGUCGACUAGAUCGUAGUGGCUCUAACGCUAUUACGGUCGAAGCAAAAGUGCUAAGUCGACCGCCUGGGAAGUACGGUCGCAAGGCUAAAACUCAAAGGAAUUGACGGGGGCUCACACAAGCGGUGGAGCAUGUGGUUCAAUUCGAAGCAACGCGCAGAACCUUACCUGGGCUUGACAUGCUAGGAUAUCUCU